rnacentral:rRNA from 1 species
AUACGGAGGGUGCAAGCGUUGUUCGGAAUUACUGGGCGUAAAGCGCGCGUAGGCGGUCUGUUAUGUCAGAUGUGAAAGUCCACGGCUCAACCGUGGAAGUGCAUUUGAAACUGGCAGACUUGAGUACUGGAGGGGGUAGUGGAAUUCCCGGUGUAGAGGUGAAAUUCGUAGAUAUCGGGAGGAAUACCGGUGGCGAAGGCGACUACCUGGCCAGAUACUGACACUGAGGUGCGAAAGCGUGGGGAGCGAACAGGAUUAGAAACCCCAGUAGUCC